GGGGAUUUAGUUCAGUGGUAGAGCGCUUGCCUAGCAAGCGCAAGGCCCUGGGUUCGGUCCCCAACCCCCG
rfam:Rattus norvegicus chromosome 6, whole genome shotgun sequence.